rnacentral:rRNA from 1 species
CUCCAAUAGCGUAUAUUAAAGUUGUUGCAGUUAAAAAGCUCGUAGUUGGAUUGUGGUGUGACUGCCGGUUCUGAUGGCUUUACUGUCGUUGGUUACUGUGCGGGUCUGCCUUUUUUGGGUGGAAGCUGUGUGGCAUUAGGUUGUCGUGCAGGGGAUGCCAUCGUUUACUGUGAAAAAAUUAGAGUGUUCAAAGCAGGCUU